UGAGGAAUAUUGCACAAUGGGCGCAAGCCUGAUGCAGCAACGCCGCGUGCGGGACGAAGGCCUUCGGGUCGUAAACCGCUUUUCUGGGGGAAGAGCAAGGACGGUACCUCAGGAAUAAGUCUCGGCUAACUACGUGCCUGCAGCCGCGGUAAAACGUAGGAGGCGGGCGUUAUCCGGAUUUACUGGGCGUAAAGCGCACGCAGGCGGCUCUGUUAGUCGGACGUGAAAGCUCUCGGCUUAACCGGGAGAGGCCGUUCGAUACUGCGGGGCUUGAGGUAGGGAGAGGAAUGCGGAAUUCCCGGUGUAGUGGUGGAAUGCGUAGAUAUCGGGAGGAACACCUGUGGCGAAAGCGGCAUUCUGACCCUCACCUGACGCUGAGGUGCGAAAGCGUGGGUAGCAAACA
rnacentral:rRNA from 1 species